GGCAUGGUGGCUUAGUGGUUAGUACAUACUUGAACAUCCCCAUUGGGUUGGGGGUUCGAGUCCCACCUCUGCCC